AUUGCUUCUCAUCCUUUGGGCUAAGAUCAAGUGUAGUAUCUGUUCUUAUCAGUUUAAUAUCUGAUAUGUUCUCUGUCUGAGGACAUUAUAUAAAGUGAAUUUUUGGAGCUGGGAGAUAGAAUAGAAGUUUGCUCUGUCCACUCUGUUCAUCGACCCAGUAUUGCAGUACUUCCAGGAAUGGUGCACCCAAA